rnacentral:rRNA from 1 species
UACGGAGGGGGCGAGCGUUAUUCGGAAUUAUUGGGCGUAAAGGGCGCGUAGGCGGCUUGGUAAGUCAAAGGUGAAAUCCCUCGGCUCAACUGAGGAAUGGCCUUUGAAACUGCCUGGCUCGAGGCCGGGAGGGGGUAGCGGAAUUCCCAGUGUAGCGGUGAAAUGCGUAGAUAUUGGGAGGAACACCGGUGGCGAAGGCGGCUACCUGGACCGGUUCUGACGCUGAUGCGCGAAAGCGUGGGGAGCAAACAGG